GUGGGGGAUAUUGCACAAUGGAGGAAACUCUGAUGCAGCGACGCCGCGUGAGUGAAGAAGUAUUUCGGUAUGUAAAGCUCUAUCAGCAGGGAAGAAAGGCUCGCAAGAGAGAUGACGGUACCUGACUAAGAAGCCCCGGCUAACUACGUGCCAGCAGCCGCGGUAAUACGUAGGGGGCAAGCGUUAUCCGGAUUUACUGGGUGUAAAGGGAGCGCAGACGGUCAAGCAAGUCUGAAGUGAAACCCCACGGCUCAACCGUGGGCUUGCUUUGGAAACUGUUUGACUAGAGUACUGGAGAGGUAAGCGGAAUUCCUAGUGUAGCGGUGAAAUGCGUAGAUAUUAGGAGGAACAUCGGUGGCGAAGGCGGCUUACUGGACAGCAACUGACGUUGAGGCUCGAAGGCGUGGGGAGCAAACAGG
rnacentral:rRNA from 1 species